rnacentral:rRNA from 1 species
GACGAACGCUGGCGGCGUGCUUAACACAUGCAAGUCGAACGAAGUGGCGAACGGGUGAGUAACGCGUAAUCAACCUGCCACUCAGAGGGGGACAACAGUAGGAAACGACUGCUAAUACCGAAUACUGAAGGAGGGGAUUGCGUCUGAUUAGCUAGUUGGAGGGGUAAUGGCCCACCAAGGCGAUGAUCCGUAGCCGGUCUUGUAGGAUGAACGGGCACAUUGGGAAUGAGACACGGCCCAGACUCCUACGGGAGGCAGCAGUGGGGAAUCUUCCGCAAUGGACGGAAGUCUGACGGAGCAACGCCGCGUGAGUGAUGUCGGCCUUCCGGUUGUAAAGCUCUGUUAAUCGGGGCGCGGUACCGGAAUAGAAAGCCACGGCUAACUACGUGCCAGCCGCCGCGGUAAUUC